UUCCUACGGGGGGCAGCAGUGGGGAAUAUUGCACAAUGGGGGAAACCCUGAUGCAGCAACGCCGCGUGGGUGAAGGAGCGUUUCGGCGCGUAAAGCCCUGUCAGCGGGGAAGAAGAAAGACGGUACCCGACCAAGAAGCCCCGGCUAACUACGUGCCAGCAGCCGCGGUAAUACGUAGGGGGCGAGCGUUAUCCGGAAUGAUUGGGCGUAAAGGGUGCGUAGGCGGCCUGCUAAGUCUGGAGUGAAAGGUACCGGCUCAACCGGUACAGGCUCUGGAAACUGGCGGGCUAGAGAGCAGGAGAGGG
rnacentral:rRNA from 1 species